AUCUGGGAUAGCUCAGCUGGUAGAGCAUGACACUCUUAACCUUAGGGUUGUGGGUUCGAGGCCCACAUUGGGUG